rnacentral:rRNA from 1 species
GACGAACGCUGGCGGCGUGCCUAAUACAUGCAAGUCGAACGCAGUGGGGACGGGUGAGUAACACGUGGGUAACCUCCCAUCAGAGGGGAUAACACUUGGAAACCGGUGCUAAACCGACACUGAUGGAUGGACCAGCGGGGCAUUAGCUAGUUGGUGAGGUAACGGCUCACCAAGGACACGAUGCAUAGCGGAACGGAGAGGGUGAGCGGCCACACUGGAACUGAGAAACGGCCCAGACUCCUACGGGGGGCAGCAGUAGGGAAUCUUCGGCAAUGGACGCAAGUCUGACAGAGCAAUGCCGCUUGAGUGAAGAAGGUUUUCGGAUCGUAAAACUCUGUUGUUAGAGAAGCGGUAUCUAACCAGAAAGCCACGGCUAACUACGUGCCAGCAGCCGCGGUAAUAC